rnacentral:lncRNA from 1 species
UAAAAUGUCCAGGCCACCGUUUCACAAAGCCUUCUUAACUUACGAUGAUCGUAUCAGUUUACGAUCGGUUUACGUGUGGUUCUACGUUCCCGUUACGUGUGUUUCACAAAGGCAUCGUAAAGAACUACUAAGUUGAUCGCAAGUUACGUCGUGUGUAUCAUCGUAAGUGUAUCGUAAACCGAGAAGAGUGCUUUCUUUCACGUCCGCACUUUUAUCGAGUAUGGCAUGCCAAAUAAACAUUUUUAAAAAUAAUUAUUAUGGAUGGCGAAUUAUGGAGAUAUUUUUAUAUCAACAUUAAUACAACUAAAGAAUUUUAGUCCGUUUUCAAUAUUAAUUCAAGAUAUAUGACGCUUACAGUCAUAGGACAAAAGUGAGUUCCCACUCAAAAAAUGUCCGAUCAUUUCAACUAAAAUCGGUAUUUUUCAAAAAAAUAUUACCAAGUAAGUCUAUGAGUGAUUUUUAUAAAAUAGAUACCAUAAGAUGCAGAAAUGUCUGAAGUUUAAU